rnacentral:lncRNA from 1 species
CGGUGAUAGUGGUGGUGGUUGUGAUGGUGGUGGUUAUGAUGGUUGUGGUUGUGGUUGUGGCGGUGGCGGUGGUGGUGGCAGCGGUGGUGAUAGCAGCGGUACCGGUGCAUGUGCAUUUUCCUCGCUAGCUGGUUUCGUUGGUUAGUUCCCUGCGUGCUACGUGUGCUAUGUAGCUCUAUACAUGCUUUAUUGUUAGUUAUACUUUUGAAGGGUGCCGCGACCCUUCAAGGUGUAACAUAGACAGCUGCAGCUUAGUGACCCAAGUUUAUUUUUUGUAUUAUAGCAUGUGUACGACACCGCACGUUGUCGCUGUUGACGUUGCGCGGUGAUGAUGUAGUAGCUGGAUGCUAAAAAAGCCUCUCAAGAUGCUGGUGGAGCGGCUUAGCGCGUAUUUGUAGACGAUGGGUGUGCCGUACUACUCGUACAGCUGCUACAGCAGGCGACGUAUAGGCGCGCAUCUCACAUUGUUAUGCCAGACAGGAUAGGAAGGAACUCGCAUCAUUACAUCCCCUCCUCGCAUCGCAUUGUGUAGUUCGUUGGUAUUCAAUAAUGCGCUUGGAUAGAGUAGUAGAUAGAGGGGUGUAGCUAGAUAGGACGGAUGUCGGAGGCCAGCAGCAGCAGCAGCAGCAGCAGGCCGAAGGCUAUGGGUGUGUGCAGUUGUUAGGUAGAAUGUCUGUGUCAACAUUGCCUGCCAGCAGCCGCCUUACUAAACCAAGGGCAAUUUGUGGCACUUGGUUUACGGUCAUACAUACGUGUAUGUAUGUAUGUAUGUAUGGCUCAUGUAUAUACAGGCCUUUACAUUUGCAUAAGCGUAAUGGGUUAUUAAUUCGGGGGGGGACCCCCGGGGGCUGCGAGGUGGGGUUGCAGCACAAGUGUGCACUAGAUCUCACGCAUCUAGCACCGGCAAGUAAGCAAUGACUUACAUGCAUGCAAGUGCGUAUAUUUACCUGUGUGUAUGAAUACCUAUGCCUGUACUUUAUUAAUGAUGAAGAUUUGGGUAGUCGGUUUCAUCCCAUGUCGGGUCGGCGGAUCCUAUCCCGUUUAUUUGGAGUCCGCCCGCUGCUGUCUGUUGGAUACUGUAGGGUACCUGAGGAAGCGUGUGUUGUUAUUGUUGUAUUAUGAUUGUUUCUGGAUGGGUGCUGGAGAUGGGUUUUCCCUAUCUGCUGGAGCUGAUGAGCUUGCAUUUUGAUAGUGCAUCAUCAUCAUGAUCAUCAUCGUGUGGUAGUGGUGGUAGUAGUGGUGUUAGUAGGUAGUGGUAGUAGUAGUGGUAGUGGUAGUGGUAGCAAUGGUGUUGGUAGGUAGUGGUAGUGGUAGUGGUAGUGGUAGUGGUAGUGGUAGUGGUAGUGGUAGUGGUAGUAGUAGUGGUAGUGGUAGCAAUGGUGUUGGUAGGUAGUGGUAGUGGUAGUGGUAGUAGUAGUGGUAGUGGUAGCAAUGGUGUUGGUAGGUAGUGGUAGUGGUAGUGGUAGUGGUAGUGGUAGUGGUAGUGGUAGUGGUAGUAGUAGUGGUGGCGGGUAAUGAUGGUGGUUGUGAUGGUGGUAGCAGUGGCAGUGUGGAUGGCUGAUGAGGCGGGGGACACGGACACGCACACGCUUGUGCCUUCGUUCUUAGUGAGGCUGUGUGUGCAUGUGCGUUUAUGUAUGUAACUUAUGGCUCCUAGGCUCUUGGGCCCCUACCUCUGACUCGUAUGGGGACUCCUUACACCUCUCGGGUAACACAGCCGAGGUGUAAUACACAUACACACACAUGCAUAUGGCUCGAUCGGACCAUCCGCCUCGUUCUGCCAUUGCUGCUAUAGCUGUGGUGCCCUACCAUGCUCUGCUUGUAUCGCUAACCUGCUGCUGCAUCCCCACAC